rnacentral:lncRNA from 1 species
UGGAUACCAUUGACUAACCACGACGACGUAGACUGGUGACGGAUCGACUGACAACUGGAAAUCAAAGGUGGCAGAGGCAACGACCUCCGAACAAUAGCAUUAUAGAGUGGUGGCCGUGACUGACGGCGGUAUAGACCGGCGACUGAUGACAACAACGACAACCGAAGACAGUAUAGACCACAACCGACUGCGGCAGAGACUAGUCCGACGACUGACAGCGACGGGGGACCGGGCUACCCUCGAUUGGCAUCAAAGAGGUGUUAAUGUUUAUCAAACAAUAAGUUUCCUAAUAAGUUU